GAUGAAAAAAUACACCCGUACGCAUCUGCUGCUCUCCUUGAUCCUCACCUUUGCCCAGGCCGAUCUAUUCCCCCCGCCGCCGCCACACCCCAGCCCCCUCGCCGUCGCGGCCGCACCUCAGCCCGCUCGCCGCCCCCGUCGCCGCCUCCGCGGUCGCACCUCAGCUUGCUCGCCGCCCCCGUCGCAACCCAACCCUUCCUCCCCUCCAAUGGAUGCCGCCCCAACCACCUGAUCCAAUAGGAAGCCCCAGUUCGGCAGCCUCUGUUCCCGCCCUUCAGCGGCCACCUCGCCACCCCUCCAAUGCCCAGCACGUCCUUAUCCAACGCCGCCCUUCAGCGCCCACCCAUCCGCCUGCCCGCCCGGCAACGCCCGAUUGAAUUGCUGCUGCCAAGAUCUGCCUCAAUGUGGUUUGCAUCAUUGCGGCGACGACAUCGUCGAUCUUCGACUCCGGCGGCUACAUCCAGAAGGACUACCACAAUUCUCGCGGCUGGUAGCUCUUUCAAAGAUAGCUCGCUCGUCAUAUCUCGACAGAAGAAGAACAACUUUGAUCGAUGGAGAUGGAUUUCUUUCCUGUUGGUGCGAUUCAGGGAAGCUAUUUGUGGUGUAAUAUGCAGCUAAAGGUAUUCCAGCAUGAGCUUCCAUGCACAACAUCAGUGCUUAAAAUAACUUGAUUCUCUGCUCACAGCCAACUCCAGCAAGAAAUAAUUUCACAGCCACAGAUCGCGCCAAAGCAUAGCCAGCCUUGGUCCAAGGAGAUAGAGAUAGAGAAGUACUGACAAGGUGGCUCGUUCGCAAGUUGGAUCCGUCCAUGAGCUCACUGCUCUUGGUCUCUCACAGCAAAGAACUGCAUGCUGGCUGGGAUCUUGCCCAUGUAAUAUUUUCAGUACUGUAAUGGCAGAUUGUACUUAUACUUUUUGCAAUUUUUUUGGUGUUUAGGCCAUGCUUGUUGGGCCAAGAGGUAGACCCCGUAUAAUGCCGACCCGCUAAAUGUGUUUACAGUUUGCGGAAAUAUGGCUUUGCGGGCAGGCGCGGGGGCUGAAUAUCCUUUUUUACAGUUCCGCUUUGCGCUGGCCGGCGAAUCCUCUGCGACUCCUCUUUUACGGGUCCGCUUCGUGGGGUUGCUCGGCCGCUGCCGUGCCGGCCCGUAAAUCAGUAAUUUGCAUUUCAAUUUCGGGUAUGAAAAAACAUUUCUUCUUCCCAAUACCAAAAUGAGCAUCCACCUUCCUACA